AGUGAACGCUGGCGGUAGGCCUAACACAUGCAAGUCGAACGGCAGCACAGUAAGAGCUUGCUCUUACGGGUGGCGAGUGGCGGACGGGUGAGGAAUACAUCGGAAUCUACUUUUUCGUGGGGGAUAACGUAGGGAAACUUACGCUAAUACCGCAUACGACCUACGGGUGAAAGCAGGGGAUCUUCGGACCUUGUGCGAUUGAAUGAGCCGAUGUCGGAUUAGCUAGUUGGCGGGGUAAAGGCCCACCAAGGCGACGAUCCGUAGCUGGUCUGAGAGGAUGAUCAGCCACACUGGAACUGAGACACGGUCCAGACUCCUACGGGAGGCAGCAGUGGGGAAUAUUGGACGAUGGGCGCAAGCCUGAUCCAGCCAUACCGCGUGGGUGAAGAAGGCCUUCGGGUUGUAAAGCCCUUUUGUUGGGAAAGAAAAGCAGCAGGUUAAUACCCCGCUGUUCUGACGGUACCCAAAGAAUAAGCACCGGCUAACUUCGUG
rnacentral:rRNA from 1 species